rnacentral:tRNA from 1 species
GGGAAUGUGGCUCAGUGGUAGAGUGCUUGCCUAGCAUGCAUGAAGCCCUGGGUUUGAUUCCUCAGUAUCUCA